UUGGAGGGCAAGUCUGGUGCCAGCAGCCGCGGUAAUUCCAGCUCCAAUAGCGUAUAUUAAAGUUGUUGCAGUUAAAAAGCUCGUAGUUGAAUUUCGGGGUUCUACCGUUGGUCGGGCAAUAGUCUGUACUGGCGUGUGGAAUUUCUACCUUCUGGGGAACCAUCAUGUUAUUAAUUUAGCGUGGUGGGAAACCAGGACCUUUACCUUGAAAAAAUUAGAGUGUUCAAAGCAGGCUUACGUCUGAAUACAUUAGCAUGGAAUAAUAAAAUAGGACGGUGGUCCUGUUUUGUUGGUUUCUGAAUCACCGUAAUGAUUAAUAGGGAUAGUUGGG
rnacentral:misc_RNA from 1 species